CUUUUUGUCUCACGCUACAGUAUCACUACAGUAUCUAAUCUCACCGCCACCGCUAUUUUUACACUAACCGCAAGUAAAUGCACCGCCCAUCCAAACUCACCCUAAGUUGGAUUUCAACACUAAUGUUGGGGUUUGGGAAAGAUUUGCAAGGUUGGCAGCCUAUGUGAAUUUGGAAAAGCAUCUAAUAUCCCAAGUUUUGGUUAACGGGGCUCUCCAGCGGGUAGAAUAUGAAUAUUUACCCAUUAUAUGCUUCUCGUGUGGCC
rnacentral:lncRNA from 1 species